GUAUUAAAGGUCCCGCCUGCCCAGUGAACACUUCAACGGCCGCGGUAUCCUAACCGUGCAAAGGUAGCGUAAUCACUUGUUCUUUAAAUGAGGACUAGUAUGAACGGCUGCAUGAGGGCCUAACUGUCUCCUGGGGCCAAUCAAUGAACCUGAUCUUCCAGUACAAAAGCUGGAAUAAACACAUAAGACGAGAAGACCCUGUGGAGCUUCAAACAAGCUAUAGCUCACCUUAAAUAACCCCACGGGCACAAAUUAGUUCGUAACUAAAAGCGUUUUAAGUUGGGGCGACUGCGGGGAAAAACAAAACCCCCAUGAAACACAUUAUUUUAAGUGUACACACUGACAAUAAAAGAUUGACCCAGUAUAACUGAUUAACGGACCAAGUUACCCCAGGGAUAACAGCGCAAUCCCCUUCAAGAGUCCUUAUCGCCAAGGGGGUUUACGACCUCGAUGUUGGAUCAGGACAUCCAGAUGGUGUAGCCGCUAUCAAGGGUUCGUUUGUUCAACGAUUAAUAGUCCU
rnacentral:rRNA from 1 species